rnacentral:rRNA from 1 species
GAACGGCAGCAUGGAGACGGAACCCUUCGGGGGGAAGACUCUGAUGGCGAGUGGCGGACGGGUGAGGAAUGCAUCGGAAUCUGCCUUUUUGUGGGGGAUAACGUAGGGAAACUUACGCUAAUACCGCAUACGCCCUUCGGGGGAAAGCCGGGGAUCUCGCAAGAGACCUGGCGCAGAUAGAUGAGCCGAUGCCGGAUUAGCUAGUUGGCGGGGUAAAGGCCCACCAAUGGCGACGAUCCGUAGCUGGUCUGAGAGGAUGAUCAGCCAACUGGAACUGAGACACGGUCCAGACUCCUACGGGAGGCAGCAAGUGGGGAAUAUUUGGACAAUGGGGGCAACCUGAUCCAGCCAUGCCGAGUGUGUGAAGAAGGCCUUACGAGGUUGUAAAGCACUUAAUGUUGGGGAAAGAAAAGCCAUGGGUCGAAUA